GACGAACGCUGGCGGCGUGCUUAACACAUGCAAGUCGAACGGAAAGGCCCUGCUUUUGUGGGGUGCUCGAGUGGCGAACGGGUGAGUAACACGUGAGUAACCUGCCCUUGACUUUGGGAUAACUUCAGGAAACUGGGGCUAAUACCGGAUAGGAGCUCCUGCUGCAUGGUGGGGGUUGGAAAGUUUCGGCGGUUGGGGAUGGACUCGCGGCUUAUCAGCUUGUUGGUGGGGUAGUGGCUUACCAAGGCUUUGACGGGUAGCCGGCCUGAGAGGGUGACCGGCCACAUUAGGACUGAGAGACGGCCCAGACGCCUACGGGAGGCAGCAGUGGGGAAUAUUGCACAAUGGGCGGAAGCCUGAUGCAGCAACGCCGCGUGCGGGAUGACGGCCUUCGGGUUGUAAACCGCUUUCGCCUGUGACGAAGCGUGAGUGACGGUAAUGGGUAAAGAAGCACCGGCUAACUACGUG
rnacentral:rRNA from 1 species